UGUGUCUUAUCUGAGACAUUGAGCCAUACACAAACAUUCUAAUCCGUUGUGUUCAAUGGAAUUACAAUAGAGUGGAGUCUAUCCUUAUGGCUUUUGCCAUCCAGCUGCUGGGCACUGCCUCAACAAGAAUUUGUCAGCUCAGUGAGUUGUCUUGUACGUUUAUUACGGAAGAAUGAGUGAUGAAUGCCCACAUACCCAAGAUUAAUGUUUUCUUUCCUGGAUUUCAGUUAGUGCUUUUGUACAGCACGUCUGUUUCUAUGUGUUUCUCUUUAAGUCUGAUUCUACUGUGAAAAGUUACUAUUCUAAAACAAAAAAAGCACUGUGCAGUUCCAAAUCUAUUAGAUCUCAGUGGCUUCCUUAUUAUAUCUGCUCACUUUGUAUGAAUAAGCUGAAAAGAUUCUGAAGAAAAUUACAGGAGCACUGACCUUUCUCCAUCAGAACCCAUAUAAAAGAGAAAUCUGCAUCCAAUGUGGAACCAUCCUAUAGGCAGCCUGUAUCCAAGAGGAGCCUGCCCCACAGCUACGUCCUCCAUCAUCACUCUUCUAGUUCAGUAUGUCAGCUUCACAAAUGGUCUCUCAAGCUAGUGCAUGGUUGCUUUUCAGAAGACACAGAAGAAAUUCAUACGUGUUCUUCCAUUAAACCCAGCUGAAGCCAAAGAGCUUAGUGGAAAACUGUGGAAUCAGCAGCAUAUUUAUGAAAAACACAUUUAUCUAAAGAGGAUUCAAAACAUUUCUCUUCAGUCAUGCCAAAUGCAUCUCUGUUUCACUAAAGAUGUUGUGCCAAAUGUGAUAUAGCCUUCUUCAUUAUAAUCUUAGCAGGAAAGAGAUUCUGAAUUAAGGUGCCCAUAAAAUGUCCAAAAUAGCUCAUGCUGAAACACCUGUAGUGUGCUAUGAAGAUAUUUUCAUUUAUUUAAAACUCUAUGUUAUUCACAGCAAUACACUAUUAACUAUAUGCUGUAGUCAUGAAAUAUUUAUUCAUCACUUCUUAAGUCCCUAGUGAACUCUUUUGGCACUUAAGUUUUUCUAUUACUAUUCCGACUAGUUAAGGCAAUCCCCCAAUAACUUGUUAAAUGCUGGUGGGGAGGGAGAAUAGGUAUUUGUGUUCAUGUGUCUAGCCUGAUGAUGUAGGUGAAAUUCCAUUUGAUAAGCAUAUCAUGCAGACCUUUAUGUUGGUGGGGUAAUCCCAGCCUCCUCCUUUAAAACAGCUUAGAAGAAUAGCUGUUAAUAUAGAGGAGGGAAAAUGUGAACUGCUACUUUCUUCCUUUAGGCCAGGUCUGUACUACACCAGGAAGGUCAACUUAAGGUACGCAACUCCAGCUACAUAAAUAACAUAGCCAGAGUCAACAUACUGUAAGCUUGGCACAAUCUCCAGAGCGGGAGGUCAAGAGGGGCAAAUGCUCUUGUCGGCUUCACUUACUCAUUGCAAAUCAAGGUGUACUGGUGCCGACUGGGAGCUCCCUUAGCGUUCAAUUUAGUAGGUCCUUCCUAGACCCACUAAAUCAAACACCAGAAUAUCGAUCUCUGGCACAGCAAGUAAAGAUAUGGCCUUAGACACAUUUUUUCACAGAUGGCAGAAAAGACAAAUCAGAUCUUAUAAAAUUCCCAUGUGUCAAUGGUGGUAAAAGUGAGAUAAGGUGGGUGAGGUAAUAUCUCUUAUUGGACCAAGUUCUGUGGGUGAGGGAGACAAUGUUUCCAGCAGUACAGAGUUCUUCUUCAGGUCUGUGAAAGGUUCUCUGUGAUACAGCAGAAUAAAAGGUGGAACAGAUUGUUUAGCACAAGUAGUUAUCACAUAUUCUAAGGGACUGUUCAAGGUGAGUGGCUCAUUAACACAUCCCCAGACAUAGGACAAAAAAAAAGUAGAUUAGUGGUAGCAGAUAACAGAUUGUUGAAUAUAAGUGAGCCACUGGAUUUUAUAGUUUCUUCCUUUCAACUGAGUUUGCAUGCCUGAAUUGAAGAGUGAAUGACAAGUUACCUGGACAUCAGGUAAGAGCUGUUGAGACCCUGAAUGCAGUGGAAGUCGUUAUUUCACAUAUCCAUCAACUACAACUCGGGGUGGAGGAAAAGAAAGGGAAAAGAUGGGCAAUGAAACCAUAAGAGCUACUGAAACUUUAAUAAUGGCUGUACAAUAGCCAAGGAGAGUCCAUUUCAUUACUUUCUCUUACUUCAUUACUUUUUUUAUUUUUUGGACGAGAAAAAAGUACAGUCUCCAACAAUUUUAUAAACCUCUAACGAAGGAAUUUGCCUAUGGUUGUUUAUUAUAUGUUCUUGUUUAGAAUGAGGAGUAAUUAUGAUGUAAAUAACCUCUAUAGAAAAAACAGUGAGGCGCACAUUAUAGAUCUACAUGAGAGUGGAACUAAGCUAAGGAACAAUUUUAAUUUUCUCAAUGAAACAUGUUUGCUUUUCAAAUUAAUGUCACUUUUGAAAGAUUUGGCCUUGAGAUGGUUUGAUUUUUAGCACACAAAGGUUUAUUUUAUUUCAAUGGUAAAGUCAUUUGCCUUUCAUUUCCAAUACCUCCAAAGAUCCUCCAAAAUACUUUGUUUUAAAAUGUAUCUGCAGAUGAGGAAUAAGGGAGGAAGAUCCACUUUAUGUAUAAAAUUAUAAUUUACUUUAAGUUAAAUGAAAUAUUACAUGCUGAGUAACCGACACAGUGUGAUAAUAUAGUUACAUUAAGCUUUGUAAAUAAAAUGUGGUAGAAAGGAUCUUCUGCCCCCUUCCUCCCCACCCCUUUCUCCUGGGGAACAGCAUUUGAAA